AACGAACGCUGGCGGCAUGCUUAACACAUGCAAGUCGAACGACACCUCCGGGUUUAGUGGCGCACCGGGGGGUAACGCGUGGGAACCUGCACUUAAGUUCGGAAUAACUCCCCGAAAGAGGUCCUAAUACCGGAUCAUGUCCUCCGACCAAAGAUUUAUCGCCUUCGGAUGGGCGUGAGAUGGAUUAGCUUGUUGGUAGGGGAAAAGCCUACCAAGGCGACGACCCAUAGCUGGUCUGUGAGGAUGAUCAGCCACACUGGGGCUGAGACACGGCCCAGACUCCUACGGGAGGGAGGAGAGGGGGAUAUUGGACACUGGGGGAUGCCCUGAUCCAGCACUGCCGCGUGAGCGAUGAAGGCCGGAGGGAUGUGAAGCUCUUUUACACGGGGUGAUAAUGACGGUACCGGGAGAAUAAGCACCGGCUAACUCCGUG
rnacentral:rRNA from 1 species